rnacentral:rRNA from 1 species
GGUGAACGCUAGCGGCAGGCCUAAUACAUGCAAGUCGAACGGUGUCUUCGGGCAUAGUGGCGCACGGGUGCGUAACACGUAUGCAACCUACCUUACAUUGGGGGAUAGCCUUUCGAAAGGGAGAUUAAUACCGCAUAAGACAGUAGCUGGGCAUCCAGCAGCUGUUAAAGAUUUAUCGAUGUAAGCUGGGCAUGCGUCCAAUUAGCUAGUUGGUGAGGUAACGGCUCACCAAGGCAAUGAUUGGUAGGGGAACUGAGAGGUCAAUCCCCCACACUGGCACUGAGAUACGGGCCAGACUCCUACGGGAGGCAGCAGUAGGGAAUAUUGGGCAAUGGACGCAAGUCUGACCCAGCCAUGCCGCGUGCAGGAUGAAGGCGUUAUGCGUUGUAAACUGCUUUUAUACAGGAAGAAACGACUCUUGCGAGAGGCAUUGACGGUACUGUAUGAAUAAGCACCGGCUAACUCCGUGCCAGCCGCCGCGGUAAGAC